rnacentral:rRNA from 1 species
UACGUAGGGGGCAAGCGUUGUCCGGAUUUAUUGGGCGUAAAGAGCGUGUAGGCGGCCAGGUAGGUCAGCUGUGAAAACUCGAGGCUCAACCUCGAGACGUCGGUUGAAACCACCUGGCUAGAGUCCGGAAGAGGAGAGUGGAAUUCCUGGUGUAGCGGUGAAAUGCGCAGAUAUCAGGAGGAACACCAAUGGCGAAGGCAGCUCGCUGGGCCGUUCCUGACGCUGAGACGCGAAAGCUAGGGGAGCGAACAGG